rnacentral:rRNA from 1 species
UACAUGGGGUGCAAACGUUGCUCGGAAUCAUUGGGCGUAAAGCGCGCGUAGGCGGUUACACAAGUUGGAUGUGAAAGCCCUCGGCUUAACUGAGGAAGUGCAUCCAAAACUGUGCAGCUAGAGUACUAAAGAGGGUCGCGGAAUUCCCGGUGUAGAGGUGAAAUUCGUAGAUAUCGGGAGGAACACCAGUGGCGAAGGCGACUACCUGGCCUGUUCUUGACGCUGAGGCGCGAAAGCUAGGGGAGCAAACGGG